GAUGAAGAACGUAGCGAAAUGCGAUAAGUAAUGUGAAUUGCAGAAUUCAGUGAAUCAUCGAAUCUUUGAACGCAUCUUGCGCUCCUUGGUAUUCCUUGGAGCAUGCCUGUUUGAGUAUCAUGAGCAAAUCUCAAAGUCAAUUCCUUUUGUUGAUUCAAUUGGUUUUGCUUUGGACUUGGAGGCCUUGCAGAUUUCACAGUCUGCUCCUCUUAAAUGCAUUAGCUGGAUCUCAGUAAUUAUGCUUGGUUCCACUCGGCGUGAUAAGUAUCACUCGCUGAGGACACUGUUAAAAAGGUGGCCAGGAAAAUACUGAUUGAACCGCUUCUAACGGUCUAUUAAGUUAGACAAUUACCCUUAAGUUUGAUCUCAAAUCAGGUAGGAGUACCCGCUGAACUUAAGCAUAUCAAUAAGCGGAGGA
rnacentral:misc_RNA from 1 species